CGGCAUCCAUCGAACGAAGCACGAGGGUGUUUCUUCCGUGCGUGCUACAGAGAAGCCUCGCCGGUUUGGGGGUGACGGCUAUAAGGCGAGUCAAUGGCGCGUAUUCUACGGAGGCUGGAACGUAUCCCUGUGGCCUCCAACUUCUACCCAGUGACAUCGUGGGCAUUUCUAGUGAUCUGGACCUGGUGAACAGCUUCACGUGGUGAACAGCUGAACGGGACAUCCUGACUGCCGGAAGCCAGGGCAACAGUGAAGAAAACAACAAGGCGGCCAUGGCGGUCAUCACGAGCUUGCUGGAACCUGAAGCUGGACUUGGUGGACCGGCGGACUUCAGUGGCAUGCCAUGGCCCGUGCCUUGAAACACCCGUUUGCACUCCUGUUUACGCGGACGUCUCGCUAACCGUUCCUCGCGUCUAACAGAGAAGAAUACAGCAUAUAUGGACACUCGUGCGAAGAUAUUGCAUCUAGUCUGUAUUCACUCCACAGUGCGUGUACGUUACCGCACAGAGUAAGUCACGCUUCGGUGAAGAUCGAGCCCAGCACGAAACGUUUCAAAGAACUGACUUCUAUCUCUACCAGUGUGGUUCACGGUAAACUGCGAAGCAUGCUCGUCGUAGAGUGCUGGUUUUAUUAUUUAGGCUUUCUGUGUUUUAAAAGCGAGCUCUGCUUCUACACAGCGAUGUCGGUUGUGCUCCACUAUUUCCCUGUCCAUAGAUUGACGUGGGACCAUGUCAUACCACCGCUUCGCAAGCAUCGUUAAGAUAAACACUAUACAGUUGUGCUGUGCAUUUCCUGGAUGCAUAAACGCACGCAAUUAGAAUCGCAGGCCUCAGAAACAGAUUAACUAAGCAGCACUGCGACGAAGCACUCCGCUGACAGUGGUAGAAAUCACUUGCAAUGUUAUUGGAACACGUUAGAAGCUUUUUGUAGAGUACUCGUAAAACAGGCAAUACAAGUGUCAGAUUUACCUCAUUUCUGCGUUGUCUUUUUUGCAAAGCGUCAGCCGACGCCCAUACUGUAAGUCCUCGAAGGCACGUGAUCUGAUGCGGGCUUUGACUGAUCCGCAGUUAGAAGAGUUAGAGGUACGAUUCCUGGGACCCAUCAUGUCACAUUCUAUAAGUCCAGUCGUCACAGCAGUGUUGGCGAUAUGAUGUGAACCAAAAUAGCCCUCUACUUGUGGCAAAUGUAAAUAAGUUAAAACUGAGCAACAGUCCGAGUCACGUUGUGUAACUUUGAACGGUUUGCUCUAAUCACGCUGUGUUUUAAUCCCAAUGAUCUUAACGAUAUUCGUCAAUGUUUCGUUCGUGGCAUAAAUUAGAAAAGCUAAUGGAGAUAUGCAGCCAACUAGACUGAGUGAUGAUUCUGUGUUCGCCUAAAGAUUCCACUGUGACAGUUUUAUAUUAUAAUAAAUAGCGCAAUGAUAUUUCAAGGUGUAUAUGAGGAAAACCCACGGCAAGUGUGCUCGUCGAAUGAAGAACCGCAUAUGCAAAUAUUUGUGUCAAGAUCAAUCAAGGUCAUUACAUAAGAUCACGAUGUUAUUGGUUGUUCUAUGCCCUACUGUAUUAAAGUCAUUCACUUUCUCCUGUUCAAAAUACAGUUGAAGUUGAAGGAUUAUGA